rnacentral:rRNA from 1 species
UACAGGGGGGGCAAGCGUUGUUCGGAAUUACUGGGCGUAAAGGGCUCGUAGGCGGCCAACUAAGUCCGACGUGAAAUCCCAAAGCUUAACUUUGGAACUGCGUCGGAUACUGGAUGGCUUGAAUUCGGGAGAGGGAUGCAGAAUUCCAGGUGUAGCGGUGAAAUGCGUAGAUAUCGGGAGGAACACCGGUGGCGAAGGCGGCGACCUGGGUAGAUACUGACGCUGAGGUGCGAAAGCGUGGGGAGCAAACAGG